rnacentral:rRNA from 1 species
GGAUUGGGAGGGUUCUACGGAACCCGUUUGGUGAAUCUAGUGCCGAGAAAAGCCUUCUAUGUGUUGAAUUUCUAGUACCCGUACCCCAAACCGACACAGGUGGGUGGGUAGAGCAUACCUAGGGGCGCGUGAUAACUCUCUCUAAGGAACUCGGCAAAAUGGCCCUGUAACUUCGGGAUAAGGGGUGCCUGCGUGAGCAGGCCGCAGUGAAAUGGCUCUGGCGACUGUUUACCAAAAACACAGGUCUCUGCUAAGUCGUAAGACGAUGUAUAGGGGCUGACUCCUGCCCAGUGCCGGAAGGUUAAGGAAGUUGGUUAGCGCAAGCGAAGCUGGCGACCGAAGCCCCGGUGAACGGCGGCCGUAACGAUAACGGUCCUAAGGUAGCGAAAUUCCUUGUCGGGUAAGUUCCGACCCGCACGAAAGGAGUAACUAUCAGAGCGCUGUCUCGGAGAGAGACACGGCGAAAUAGGAUUGUCCGUGAAGAUACGGACUACCUGCACCCGGACAGAAAGACCCUAUGAAGCUUUACUGUAACUUGGAAUUGUGUUCGGACUUUGUCUGCGCAGAAUAGGUGGGAGGCUAUGAAACGUUCCUCGCGGGGAACUGGAGCCAUCGUUGAGAUACCACUCUGGCAGAGUCUGGAUUCUAACCUACGGGGACAGUUCCAGGUGGGCAGUUUGACUGGGGCGGUCGCCUCCUAAAAUGUAACGGAGGCGCGCAAAGGUUCCCUCAGGCUGGUUGGAAAUCAGCCAUAGAGUGUAAAAGCAUAAGGGAGCUUGACUGUGAGACCUACAAGUCGAGCAGGGACGAAAGUCGGCUUUAGUGAUCCGACGGCACUGAGUGGAAGGGCCGUCGCUCAACGGAUAAAAGUUACUCUAAGGAUAACAGGCUGAUCUCCCCCAAGAGUUCACAUCGACGGGGAGGUUUGGCACCUCGAUGUCGGCUCGUCGCAACCUGGGGCGGUAGUACGUCCCAAGGGUUGGGCUGUUCGCCCAUUAAAGCGGCACGUGAGCUGGGUUCAGAACGUCGUGAGACAGUUCGGUCCAUAUCCGGUGUAGGCGUAGGAGCAUUGAAAGGAUCUCUCCUUAGUACGAGAGGACCGGGAGGGACGUACCUCUGGUGUACCUGUUAUCGUGCCAACGGUAAACGCAGGGUAGCCAUGUACGGAGUGGAUAACCGCUGAAAGCAUCUAAGUGGGAAGCCCACCUUAAGAUGAGUGCUCCCUUGAGGCCACGGGAAGACGACCCGUUUGAUAGGCGCUAGGUGGAAGUGCAGUAAUGCAUGCAGCC